rnacentral:rRNA from 2 species
UUAAAUUGAAGAGUUUGAUCAUGGCUCAGAUUGAACGCUGGCGGCAGGCCUAACACAUGCAAGUCGAGCGGAAACGAGUUAUCUGAACCUUCGGGGAACGAUAACGGCGUCGAGCGGCGGACGGGUGAGUAAUGCCUAGGA